CGGCUGAAAGAAAACAAGGUUAUGGAGAAAACAUGUACCAUGCUGCGUCCCAUUGCCUUGUAUGGUGGCUGUCGCUGCUGAGUAAGCAUUGUCUUCCUCCUUCAUCCACCAAGGAAACACUACGGUGUGCCUGAAUACACGAGCUCCACAACACUUUGCUGACAUAAGGGUUGCCCCCAUUUUAAAGGGUCACAGAAGAAAGGCUUACCUGUGGCUUGCUAUCUGAAGAAAGGUUUGGACGCACACUCCUAUAACCCUUGGCAGCCAGAGAAGAUGGU